AAUUUUGGACACUGGGGGCAACCCUGAUCCAGCCACCCCGCGUGUGCGAUGAACGCCUUCGGGUUGAAAAGCACUUUUGGCAGGGAAAACAAGGCGCGGGUUAAUACCCUGUGCCGCCGACGGUACUUGCCGAACAAGCACCGGCUCACUGCGUGCCAGCAGCCGCGGUAAUACGUAGGGUGCAAGCGUUAAUCGGAAUUACUGGGCGUAAAGCGUGCGUCGGCGGUUUGGCAAGAAAGGUGUGAAAUCCCAGGGCUUAACCGUGGAACGGCACUUUUAACUGCCAGGCUAGAGUAUGUAAGAGGGGGGUAGAAUUCCGCGUGUAGCAGUGAAAUGCGUAGAGAUACGGAGGAAUACCGAUGGCGAAGGCAGCCCCCUGGGAUAAUACUGACGCUCAGGCACGAAAGCGUGGGGAGCAAACA
rnacentral:rRNA from 1 species